rnacentral:rRNA from 1 species
UACGUAGGGACCAAGCGUUGUUCGGAUUUACUGGGCGUAAAGGGCGCGUAGGCGGCUUAACAAGUCACUUGUGAAAUCUCCGGGCUUAACUCGGAACGGCCAAGUGAAACUGUCAAGCUAGAGUGCAGAAGGGGCAAUCGGAAUUCUUGGUGUAGCGGUGAAAUGCGUAGAUAUCAGGAGGAACACCGGUGGCGAAGGCGGUGGUCUGGGCCGGUACUGACGCUGAGGAGCGAAAGCGUGGGGAGCAAACAGG